ACACGAAAUAAACCCCUGGAGAUACUGAAUUCAAGAGAUAACGAGUCGUGUAACCGUUUUAUUAACAUAGAGUUCUGUGCACAGGUCAGCCUUAAUGGUAACACGAGUAAAAGCAAGCGUAGAAUGGGUCUAUAUAUCCCUAGCAACAUGUAUGCCAUUUGAGCCAGUUCGUCUUUCACGUUGAGAGUGCUGGAAUAAAUGAUCAAUGUACACGCCGCCAGUAGAGAGCUAAUAUUUCUUAACCCAGUAGUAUACACAGCCUGUGUGAAAAUCAAUAUCCGGUUAACUAUGUCUCUAGACUGGUUUACCAAACUUUUGAAGAACCAUUCCCCGCUAAACAUGGCCGCCGCCGAAACAAAACGGGUCGUUGCUAUGGCUGUUGAUGAGAGCGAGCAUUCUGAUAAAGCCUUUGAAUGGUAUUGUGAACACGUGAUGAAAGAUGGCGACUAUCUUGUAUUCAUACACGUACCAGAAUCAUAUGAUUUCACCAUGGCUAGUCCAUCUGUGCUGGAACAGAUGAUGAGGGAAUUAGAAGAACGAGUCAAUAACAUCGAAAAGAAAUAUAAAGAAAAACUGGUAGCUAAAAGGUUGAGUGGAAAGUUUCGCACGGGAGCUGGCAAACCAGGCGAGGUUAUCG